rnacentral:rRNA from 1 species
UUAAGUUAGAAAGGGCGCACGGUGGAUGCCUUGACACUAGGAGUCGAUGAAGGACGGGACUAACGCCGAUAUGCUUCGGGGAGCUGUAAGUAAGCUUUGAUCCGAAGAUUUCCGAAUGGGGAAACCCACCAUACGUAAUGGUAUGGUAUCCUUAUCUGAAUACAUAGGGUAAGGAAGACAGACCCAGGGAACUGAAACAUCUAAGUACCUGGAGGAAGAGAAAGCAAAUGCGAUUUCCUGAGUAGCGGCGAGCGAAACGGAACAUAGCCCAAACCAAGAGGCUUGCCUCUUGGGGUUGUAGGACAUUCUAUACGGAGUUACAAAGGAACGAGGUAGACGAAGCGACCUGGAAAGGUCCGUCGUAGAGGGUAACAACCCCGUAGUCGAAACUUCGUUCUCUCUUGAAUGUAUCCUGAGUACGGCGGAACACGUGAAAUUCCGUCGGAAUCUGGGAGGACCAUCUCCCAAGGCUAAAUACUCCCUAGUGAUCGAUAGUGAACCAGUACCGUGAGGGAAAGGUGAAAAGCACCCCGGAAGGGGAGUGAAAGAGAUCCUGAAACCGUGUGCCUACAAAUAGUCAGAGCCCGUUAAUGGGUGAUGGCGUGCCUUUUGUAGAAUGAACCGGCGAGUUACGAUCCCGUGCGAGGUUAAGCUGAAGAGGCGGAGCCGCAGCGAAAGCGAGUCUGAAUAGGGCGUUUAGUACGUGGUCGUAGACCCGAAACCAGGUGAUCUACCCAUGUCCAGGGUGAAGUUCAGGUAACACUGAAUGGAGGCCCGAACCCACGCACGUUGAAAAGUGCGGGGAUGAGGUGUGGGUAGCGGAGAAAUUCCAAUCGAACCUGGAGAUAGCUGGUUCUCCCCGAAAUAGCUUUAGGGCUAGCCUUAAGUGUAAGAGUCUUGGAGGUAGAGCACUGAUUGGACUAGGGGUCCUCAUCGGAUUACCGAAUUCAGUCAAACUCCGAAUGCCAAUGACUUAUCCUUAGGAGUCAGACUGCGAGUGAUAAGAUCCGUAGUCAAAAGGGAAACAGCCCAGACCGCCAGCUAAGGUCCCAAAGUGUGUAUUAAGUGGAAAAGGAUGUGGAGUUGCUUAGACAACUAGGAUGUUGGCUUAGAAGCAGCCACCAUUUAAAGAGUGCGUAAUAGCUCACUAGUCGAGUGACUCUGCGCCGAAAAUGUACCGGGGCUAAAUACACCACCGAAGCUGCGGAUUGAUACCAAUGGUAUCAGUGGUAGGGGAGCGUUCUAAGGACAGUGAAGUCAGACCGGAAGGACUGGUGGAGUGCUUAGAAGUGAGAAUGCCGGUAUGAGUAGCGAAAGACGGGUGAGAAUCCCGUCCACCGAAUGCCUAAGGUUUCCUGAGGAAGGCUCGUCCGCUCAGGGUUAGUCAGGACCUAAGCCGAGGCCGACAGGCGUAGGCGAUGGACAACAGGUUGAUAUUCCUGUACCACCUCUUUAUCGUUUGAGCAAUGGAGGGACGCAGAAGGAUAGAAGAAGCGUGCGAUUGGUUGUGCACGUCCAAGCAGUUAGGCUGAUAAGUAGGCAAAUCCGCUUAUCGUGAAGGCUGAGCUGUGAUGGGGAAGCUCCUUAUGGAGCGAAGUCUUUGAUUCCCCGCUGCCAAGAAAAGCUUCUAGCGAGAUAAAAGGUGCCUGUACCGCAAACCGACACAGGUAGGCGAGGAGAGAAUCCUAAGGUGUGCGAGAGAACUCUGGUUAAGGAACUCGGCAAAAUGACCCCGUAACUUCGGGAGAAGGGGUGCUUUCUUAACGGAAAGCCGCAGUGAAUAGGCCCAAGCGACUGUUUAGCAAAAACACAGCUCUCUGCGAAGCCGUAAGGCGAAGUAUAGGGGGUGACACCUGCCCGGUGCUGGAAGGUUAAGGAGAGGGGUUAGCGUAAGCGAAGCUCUGAACUGAAGCCCCAGUAAACGGCGGCCGUAACUAUAACGGUCCUAAGGUAGCGAAAUUCCUUGUCGGGUAAGUUCCGACCCGCACGAAAGGUGUAACGAUUUGGGCACUGUCUCAACCAGAGACUCGGUGAAAUUAUAGUACCUGUGAAGAUGCAGGUUACCCGCGACAGGACGGAAAGACCCCGUGGAGCUUUACUGUAGCCUGAUAUUGAAUUUUGGUACAGUUUGUACAGGAUAGGCGGGAGCCUUUGAAACCGGAGCGCUAGCUUCGGUGGAGGCGCUGGUGGGAUACCGCCCUGACUGUAUUGAAAUUCUAACCUACGGGUCUUAUCGACCCGGGAGACAGUGUCAGGUGGGCAGUUUGACUGGGGCGGUCGCCUCCUAAAGUGUAACGGAGGCGCCCAAAGGUUCCCUCAGAAUGGUUGGAAAUCAUUCGUAGAGUGCAAAGGCAUAAGGGAGCUUGACUGCGAGACCUACAAGUCGAGCAGGGACGAAAGUCGGGCUUAGUGAUCCGGUGGUUCCGCAUGGAAGGGCCAUCGCUCAACGGAUAAAAGCUACCCCGGGGAUAACAGGCUUAUCUCCCCCAAGAGUCCACAUCGACGGGGAGGUUUGGCACCUCGAUGUCGGCUCAUCGCAUCCUGGGGCUGUAGUCGGUCCCAAGGGUUGGGCUGUUCGCCCAUUAAAGCGGUACGCGAGCUGGGUUCAGAACGUCGUGAGACAGUUCGGUCCCUAUCCGUCGUGGGCGUAGGAAAUUUGAGAGGAGCUGUCCUUAGUACGAGAGGACCGGGAUGGACGCACCGCUGGUGUACCAGUUGUUCUGCCAAGGGCAUAGCUGGGUAGCUAUGUGCGGAAGGGAUAAGUGCUGAAAGCAUCUAAGCAUGAAGCCCCCCUCAAGAUGAGAUUUCCCAUAGCGUAAGCUAGUAAGAUCCCUGAAAGAUGAUCAGGUUGAUAGGUUCGAGGUGGAAGCAUGGUGACAUGUGGAGCUGACGAAUACUAAUAGAUCGAGGACUUAACCA